rnacentral:misc_RNA from 1 species
AGUACGACACUGAAGUGAAAAUGUCCAACUCUGAGUUGCAUAAAGAACCAAAACAGAUAAAUAAUAUUAAUAACAGCAGUAGUAAUAAUAAAAAUAAUAAUGUUAAACCCCAACAACAGCAACAGCAGGAAAGGAGAAAAAAUAAAAAGAUUGAUAAGGUGCAAUGUGAUGGCAGGUUGAAAAUUAUAAUAAACAGAGAAAAUGAAUUGCGAGCCAGAUGGCCGGAACGGUGGGGCUUUUAUUCAAAAAAUAACGUGGAAAAAAUGUGGAGCGAACAUGCUGUCAAUUUAGGACUACCGGAAAAUUUUAUUGAUCUCAGAAGACAGAGACUACGUAAACAAGAUAUUAUUCAACCGUUGAUCGAAGUAGUACCAUCACCGAUGUUUUGUAGGAUGGCGUUCUGCACAAAGUAUUUGCAAUUUAGAAAUGUUUGGCAGGAAUUGUGAUUACAAUAAACUAGAUACUAGAAUGUUAAAAUCAGACAACGAGCCAGAUCAAAAACAACAAAGAUUUAUAAUUCUAGGAUAAAUAAUUUAUGUUUAUUAAAAAAGAGGUCGAGUAAUUAUUUUUAAAUAACUACAACAACUGGUGACUUUUCUCCUUAUUAAUAUGAUGGAUUCACUUCAACUAUAACCAGUUUUUCUCAAUUUAAAAAGUCUAAAAACAUCAAGUGUUAAAUGACAAAAACCAAUUAGGUUUUAAUGAUAUUAGUGGUAUUACACAUGUUGAAAAAAUAUAGGUAAUAAAAAUAAAUGUGCAAGCAUAAC